rnacentral:rRNA from 1 species
AGAGCGAACGCUGGCGGCAGGCCUAACACAUGCAAGUCGAGCGCCCAGCAAUGGGAGCGGCAGACGGGAUAGUAACACGUGGGAACGUACCCUUCAGUUCGGAACAACCAAGGGAAACUUUGGCUAAUACCGAAUACGUCCGUAAGGAGAAAGAUUUAUCGCUGAAGGAUCGGCCCGCGUCUGAUUAGCUAGUUGGUGAGGUAAUGGCUCACCAAGGCGACGAUCAGUAGCUGGUCUGAGAGGAUGAUCAGCAUCACUGGGACUGAGACACGGCCCAGACUCCUACGGGAGGCAGCAGUGGGGAAUAUUGGACAAUGGGCGCAAGCCUGAUCCAGCCAUGCCGCGUGGAUGAUGAAGGCCUUAGGGUUGUAAAGUCCUUUCGACGGGGAAGAUAAUGACGGUACCCGUAGAAGAAGCCCGGCUAACUCGUGCCAGCAGCCGC